AGUGAACGCUGGCGGUAGGCCUAACACAUGCAAGUCGAACGGCAGCACAGUAAGAGCUUGCUCUUACGGGUGGCGAGUGGCGGACGGGUGAGGAAUACAUCGGAAUCUACUUUUUCGUGGGGGAUAACGUAGGGAAACUUACGCUAAUACCGCAUACGACCUACGGGUGAAAGCAGGGGAUCUUCGGACCUUGCGCGAUUGAAUGAGCCGAUGUCGGAUUAGCUAGUUGGCGGGGUAAAGGCCCACCAAGGCGACGAUCCGUAGCUGGUCUGAGAGGAUGAUCAGCCACACUGGAACUGAGACAGGGUCCAGACUCCUACGGGAGGAAGCAGUGGGGAAUAUUGGACAAUGGGCACAAGCCUGAUCCAGCAAUACCGCGUGGGUGAAGAAGGAGUUCGGGUUGUAAAGCCCUUUUGUUGGGAAAGAAAAGCAGCAGGUUAAUACCCCGCUGUUAUGACGGUACCCAAAGAAUAAGCACCGGCUAACUUCGUG
rnacentral:rRNA from 1 species